GACGAACGCUGGCGGCGUGCUUAACACAUGCAAGUCGAACGAUGAACCUCGAAAUGAUUUCUUCGGAAAGAUUUUUGAGAGGAUUAGUGGCGAACGGGUGAGUAACGCGUGAGCAACCUGCCUUAGACAAGGGGAUAGCCUCGGGAAACCGUGAUUAAUACCCUAUGAGACUCCACUUACGAGUGUAAGAGAAGUUAAAGCUAUUGCGGUCUAAGAUGGGCUCGCGUCUGAUUAGCUAGUUGGUGAGAUAAAAGCCCACCAAGGCGACGAUCAGUACCGGCUUGAGAGAGUGAACGGUCACAUUGGAACUGAGACACGGUCCAAACUCCUACGGGAGGCAGCAGUGGGGAAUAUUGCACAAUGGGGGCAACCCUGAUGCAGCGACGCCGCGUGAGCGAUGAAGGAAUUCGUUUCGUAAAGCUCUGUCCUUGGAGAAGAUAAUGACGGUAACCAAGGAGGAAGCACCGGCUAAAUACGUG
rnacentral:rRNA from 1 species